ACUCAAAUGAAUUGACGGGGGCCCGCACAAGCGGUGGAGCAUGUGGUUCAAUUCGACGCAACGCGAAGAACCUUACCUGGGCUCGAAGCGCAGUGGACCGGGGUAGAAAUAUCCCUUUUCGCAAGAACUGCUGCGGAGGUGCUGCAUGGCUGUCGUCAGCUCGUGUCGUGAGAUGUUGGGUUAAGUCCCGCAACGAGCGCAACCCUUAUCCCUAGUUGCCAUCAGGUCAAGCUGGGCACUCUAGUGAAACCGCCCCGGAUAACGGGGAGGAAGGUGGGGAUGACGUCAAGUCCUCAUGGCCUUUAUGUCCAGGGCUACACACGUGCUACAAUGGUCGGUACAAACCGUCGCAAACCUGCGAAGGGGAGCUAAUCGGAAAAAGCCGGCCUCAGUUCGGAUUGGAGUCUGCAACUCGACUCCAUGAAGCUGGAAUCGCUAGUAAUCGCGGAUCAGCACGCCGCGGUGAAUACGUUCCCGGGCCUUGUACACACCGCCCGU
rnacentral:rRNA from 1 species